rnacentral:rRNA from 1 species
UUUUUAAGCUAACGCCAUAAGCACACCGCCUGAGGAGUAUAAUUGCAAGAUUGAAACUCAAAGGAAUUGACGGGAGUUUACUACUACCGGUGGAGCAUGUGGUUUAAUGCGAUAAUCCGCGCAAAACCUUACCAAUUUUUGAAUAAAGUUUUUUAAAAGAUUUUCAGUAAUGAAUUUUUUUAAAAAAACUUUACAGGUGUUGCACGACUGUCGUCAGUUCGUGUCGUGAGAUGUUUGGUUCAUUCCUUUAACGAGCGUAACUCCUAUUUUUAAUAAUUUUGUUUUAAAAAUACUGCAAAUAAUAUGUUUGAGGAGGGUAGGAAUUAAGUCAAGUCUCUGUGGCCCUUAUAAAUUGGGCUACACACGUGCUACAAUGAAAAUAACAAAUAGUUACUAAAAUAAAAGUUUAAGUUAAUCUGGAAAUAUUUUCUUAGUUCGGAUUGUAACCUGCAAUUCGGUUACAUGAAGUUGGAAUCGGUAGUAAUCGCAAAUCAGCACGUUGCGGUGAAUACGUACAUUAACUUUGCACACACCGCCCGUCACAUG